UGUAGCACCCAACAAGCCUUAGAAGACUAGUUGUGAGUAUCAAAACCCUAAGCCUUCUCUCUCUCUCUAUUGAAAAACCUUAACCUUUGGAAGAGUACUAUAUUCAGACUACAAUCUACAAGUAUUCUUAACUUGUUAGUAAUGGAAUCUCAUAGAUUUGAGUGGCAAUGAAAUCAAAAGUGAGGCGGGAGACAAUUUUGGGGUGAUAUAUCACAUCGUGAAACAAUGACGUGUAGUUGGGGGGUUUUCAUUUUGAAGAUCCUGCAUCGAUCUCCUCGGUGAAGCAGCCAGAAAAUGUGAAGGUUUCUGUUCUAAGACCAACUCGAAUCUGAUCUACAUCUGGUUAGGAAGAUUUAUUUUGGGGGUCAAUGUGGUUCGAAUCAAAGGACCAUCCAGAUAGAGGAGUCCAUGGGUUGGAAGAAAAGAAAGCUUUAUGGAGAUGAUGGUCACUCGAGGUAGCAUAGGCAUGGAAAUUAGAAAUCUUAUUGCGAAAGGUAAAAAGUUUUAGCAAAAGUGAAAAUUUUUAAUUGGAAAGAUUUCAGAAAUUGGGACUCCGUGGAUUGUGAAUUUGUGACUUGAAGGUUGGCUCUUUGGAAUGAGUUUUUUCAUUUUUGUGGAAACAAAUCUGCAAAUUUUCAUAAUUUUAUGGAUGAAUAAUCCUCUGCAUGUAUAAGAUCCUUGUAGGAUUUGAAAAUGUAUCAAAUUUCUGUCAUCACUAUAGUGGCAAUUCCUACUUGUAUCAUGAUUCUUGACUUGAAUUCCCAAGUUUCCGACUUAGUUGGGGGUGUGGCAGUUCUGUUGCUGAUUUAUCUUCUAUGUCAAUAAGUAAAAGGGAUGUUUGGUAAGUCUUGUAUGGUAUACGAUGGAGCCUUUUCUAUUGGUAAAUUCACAUGUUGUUUUUCCCAUUGAACUACUGUUUUUCUCUCUUUAUUUCUUUAAAUCUAAUUUUGGUUGCAAUUUUGUGCAUAGUAUUUGGAACAGAGCCUCCUUGAGAGUUAUUCAUCUAGUUGAAGGCUUCCCUUUCUGGUCUCAAGGUGUAAUAGGUUUUCUGCUCCUUCAAUGGAGCCUAUGAAGUUCUAAGACUGCUGUAGAAGGCUUGAUCUCGAAUUCAGGUUACAAAGGAAACUUGUUUGCUAAAAGAAGAUAAACCAUUGUGUUAAAGAAGGCGAAGUCAAAAACCAUGAAGAUUACAUCAGUGAACUCAUUAGGAGGUUGAACUAUUCUUUUAAAGAUUAUGGUUUAUUUUAGUAGUCUUGAUACCAAUGUUUGUUCUUAUGUUAGAAUUAGAAAUUCUUAUUGAAAUAUUUUGAUAUAA